rnacentral:lncRNA from 1 species
GUCGGGAAGACGAGUAUUCCGAUGACAUUGCUCGCUUUGCGUCAUGUGCCUUCCAGUUAACCCAACCACUGUAGGAGGUAACAUCGCGCUGCUUAACGUGUAGUAGUGUUCCACCUAUAGUGUGAAGCUGUAUAUUUUAGCCCAUUGAUCGCUGUGGUGCGCCUUAGAUGUGCAGCGCUGAGAAUUUAUGUCAGCGCUGUCAUCGCCUUGACUCCCCAUGUUCGAUCUACAGGUCGGCACUGCGGUUGUCCAUUCCUCUGAAUUGACCACAAAUAUCAACAGAAAGGUCAAAAGAGCUACCAUUAUUAGUUCUCCUUGCAACAUAUAAUCGCAACAUUUUGUGAACUGCUGUAACCAUGGUUUCAUCACAUCUGGCAACUACAGCAUAGAUAUCGCUGAUAAAUUAAAGCAAUCUGGGCUCAGUCAAGGACAGUGCAGAGAAACUUUCCGUGCUGAUUCACUCCAUGGUAAUGCUUCAAUUAUGCUGGCCUCCAUCAUAUCUAUGAAAUGAGAAUUCGAGCACAAAGGAGAAACCUUCGACAUCUUGGCCAUUUACCAAAAACAUCUCAAGCAACUGCAUUUCAGGUGACACCAUUGCUAUGAGGGCUCUCUUUCAAUUAACUUGGAACUGUAUCAACGUUGUGGGACAUAUGUGCACAAGGUUACAAUACCUUGCAUUAGUCUUAUAAGUUUACAGCGCAGACGAAAACAUGUCUGCACUUGUUUCUGUCUUUUUCAUUUCUGCUGUAAACCAAGGAUUAUGAAUCACUGGCUAGCCCAAUCGACCACCCUUGUGAGAGAAGUUUUUCCAAGCCAAUGCAAUUUGCCAACGUGCAGCUGCAAUGCUGCGCUUCCUGAAGCCGUCGCCACCAGUUUCCUGCAGUAAAGUGACUUCUUGCUAAUAAGGCAUCAGCCUUGUAUAAUGCAAGGGAUUAUUGUCUCCUGAAAUUGUGAAAGACUGUGCGGAAAGGCAAGUGCAGUGCUGUGGUUGAAAGGCAGAGGCAGGUGCCUUUCAUUGUGGUGUGAAAGUGAGCACCAGGAGUGCAGCCCUAUAAAAUUGUGGGUGCUGCAAGCAGUGUGUGGUUGCUACAGUGCUACAAGCCUACUGCGGUUUUGUGCAGGUGUGUGAGUGCAUAUGUGCUUGUGUUUUGUUUUAGUCAGUGCGUGCAGUGGUGCAGUGCAUCCGAUUUGUGUUAAUGCCGUUAUGUCUUUUGACAUAACGGUUGGCCUUGCCUCGUGCAGUGCUAUAUCUCUCACAAAUAAGUGUGAUUCAUCUCAGCCGCUGUUUUGAAUAUUUGCCAAGCCACAAAGAUUUCUACGCAGUCCAAUGCCAAUUUCUUGUGCAGAUGAUCAACAAAGCAUCCCUCUGUGUUGUGUACCAAGAAGUAGGCAUCAGAGAUUGUGCAGUGAAAUUAAUUUGUGAAAGUGAUUUUAUGCCAAAUCUUGUGUGUCCGGAGGAGUUGCAAGAUUUCCACGGAUUUCAUCUCGUAAUUGAUGUGAAGCUGUCUUGAAGUGAUGUGCUGUGUGAUGUGAUACAUGAAGUGAACAGCGUGAUAUGAUAUGUGAAGUCAGCCGUGCAGUGAGAAUACCGCUUCAAGUGAGCCACGCAAGGCCAGGAAAAUUGUCUUGUAUCAAGAUGCGCACUCUGAAGAAGUAGACAGUGAGUGCCAAGUGUAUAGGAGGUGAGGUGUGCCUGCCUCAUGUUUGCCAUCACCCCAAUAAUCCCAUCAUCCCAUCACCAUCUGCAAAGGUUCAAAACAAAUGUGCUUGCACUUAUCAUGGGCCUCCAUGGAGAGCAUCGUAAGAUGAGUGUAUGUUAUAUGGCUAUGGUUUUCAUUACAUACCCAUUGGUACAUUAUCGCCUCUAAGAAGCAAGAUCAAGUCUGCCAAGGAAUAUGGCCUUGCCCAGCAUACUCAUGCAGGUAGAACUUUCUCCUCUGAGGUCUGCUAGAGUUCCUAUGGCAUAUGCAAAUAUGCUACUUCGAUCAACAAUUAAGUACAAGGCACCGACAUCCAAACUAGCAGAGGGGAAAACACGGCCAACUUUUUGCUAUACAGUAUGCAAUUGGCCACGGUGCGCAUAGGUGAGUCUUGCAUGAUUUGAUCUUUGGUGUAGGUUCACUUUAAGGUGUGGAAUAAAAUUCCAUGCGUAGAUUUGUUUGAAUUCUUUACCCAGCCUCGGGAUUAAGUUUCUGCCUGAAAGAUGGAUCUAUUACGGCAGGAAAAUCUUGUGUUCAGUUAAUUAAUGUGACAGAUAUGUCCAGCACAGCAAGUUUCCAGUUUUAGAUGCUGAUCUUACAUUGUCUUCCAAGCUGCAGUUUGCAUUGUUACAGAAACUUUUUUGCAGUUCUAUUGCGAUGUUCUGUUGGUUCUGUUGCAUGAAACUGCUUGCACAUAUUCUUUGUUGUAACUAUAGGUAUACCUUUCUAGCUCUGUCAAUAUGACUGCUGUAGUUCAGUCAGGAUUACAAAUACCAGACAAAGUUGAUAUAGCUCCUUGGAAAAAAAAUAGCAGACAUAGAGCUCAUGCACUAAUUAUUUAGAAAUGACCUUUAUCAGCUCUGCAGUGGUGUGCAUGUUUAUUAGUAGCCUUCAAAGCAUCACUGCAUGUAUGUUGAAGAAGCUUCCAGGUGUUUAUGGCUGUGGUUCAACCAGUGCCCCCAUUUCAAUAUUUUUAGCACUCUCUGGUUGAUGCCAUUGCAGUAUAUGAAAUGUUUGGAGUGCAUCGAUCCAACAUCUCUUGGAUACUAGAAGGUAAUGUAACUUCUGUGAAUGCUAUGAGAAACCUUCUUGCUGGCAAUGUGAAAGGUUGUUCAGCUAAGCUAUGGAAAGGAAAGCCAUGGGCCGAAUGCAGGCAGUUGUGAGAAGCACGUCAUCGCUCCAUUUUCAUUUUUUCAUCCAUUGUGAAGCACGUUGUGUUUUGGACUCAACCAGCCGAGGGAAGGGGAGGCGCUGCGACGAAACUUUGCCCCCCCAUCCCCCUCUAAUGGGGAACCCUGCGCACGCCUAUGUUAGGGUGGCACACCUAUGUCUCUACUUUCAACUCGAUGAUGUGCUGUUGCCAUGAGUCCAGGGGAGCCUGCUUUUGCGAUAAACCUGUGAACGUGUAAACUCACAGAGCACACAUACCAAUAUUAUAUGACACUUACAAACAUUCAAAAAUAUUUGCGAUAGGGUAA